rnacentral:rRNA from 1 species
UGGGGAAUUUUGGACAAUGGGCGAAAGCCUGAUCCAGCAAUGCCGCGUGUGUGAAGAAGGCCUUCGGGUUGUAAAGCACUUUUGUCCGGAAAGAAAUCCUUGGCUCUAAUACAGUCGGGGGAUGACGGUACCGGAAGAAUAAGCACCGGCUAACUACGUGCCAGCAGCCGCGGUAAUACGUAGGGUGCAAGCGUUAAUCGGAAUUACUGGGCGUAAAGCGUGCGCAGGCGGUUUGCUAAGACCGAUGUGAAAUCCCCGGGCUCAACCUGGGAACUGCAUUGGUGACUGGCAGGCUAGAGUAUGGCAGAGGGGGGUAGAAUUCCACGUGUAGCAGUGAAAUGCGUAGAGAUGUGGAGGAAUACCGAUGGCGAAGGCAGCCCCCUGGGCCAAGUACUGACGCUCAUGCACGAAAGCGUGGGGGAGCAAACAGGAUUAGAUACCCCUGGUAGUCCACGCCCCUAAACGAUGUCAACUAGUUGUUGGGGGAUUCAUUUUCCUUAGUAACGUAGCUAACGCGUGAAGUUGACCGCCUGGGGGAGUACGGUCGCAAGAUUAAAACUCAAAUGAAUUGAC